UGGCAAAUCCGUUCAGACGAACCUCCUUAACACGGAAAAUAUGCGAGAUGUGAUGGGACUUGCCAAACUUCGGUGCGGCAGGUUAAAUGUGAGUUCAGCAUCCUAGAAAAGUUUCGCAGUGAGAAUCAAAUCCAUUCGUACUUCAAACCGACACAGGUGGAUAGGUCGAGUAGACCAAGGAGAGCGAGAGAAAGUAGUUUAAGGAAUUCGGCAAAAUAGCUGGGCGUAACUUUGGGAAAUGCCCUCCCCAUCGCAAGAUGGGGCGCAGCGAAUGAGAUGGAGCUGACUGUUUACCAAAAACACAGGUCUGUGCAAACCCGCAAGGGGAAGUAUACGGGCUGAAACCUGCCCGGUGCUGGAAGGUUAAUUGCGAGGGUGAUUAGUUUACUAAUUGCUUUCAAUAGAAGCCCCAGUGAACGGCAGCAGUAACUAUAACUGUUCUAAGGUAGCGAAGUACCUUGUCACUUAAUUGGUGACGCGCAUGAAAGGCACAACAAGCCUCAUACUGUCUUGAACUACUACUCGGCGAAAUUGAGAUGGCCGUGAAGACGCGGCCUACUAACACAAGGACAAAAAGACCCCGUGAAGCUUUACUACAACUUGGCACUGGUCUUAUAUAUAGAAUUGUUUAGGAUAGGUGGGAGUUCCUUCAUUUAGUGAUGGAACAUCAGUGAAAUACCACUCGUUUUAUAUAUAGGACCUUACUUAAGACUAAUGCAAACUUAGUCAAGGACACUGUCUGGCAGGUAGUUUAACUGGGGAGGUUGCUUGCUAAAGAGUAACGCAAGCGCGCAAUGGUACCCUUAGUCUGGAUGGAAAUCAGACUGUACGUGCAAUAGCAUAUGGGUGCUUAACUGUGAGGCAUACGGGCCGAGCAGAUGCGAAAGCAGGUUAUAGUGAUCCUCGUGCACUUUAUGGAAGGUGCCGGGCUUAUCGGAUAAAAGCUACUCCGGGGAUAACAGAGUCAUCGCGCCUAAGCGUCCCUAGCGUCGGCGCGGUUUGCUACCUCGAUGUCGGCUCAUCGCAUCCUGGGGGUGAAGAAGCUCCCAAGGGUUUGUCUGUUCGCCAAUUAAAGCGGUACGCGAGCUGGGUUCAGACCGUCGUGAGACAGGUCGGCCUCUAUCCGGUGUUAGCGUUAGAAAGUUGAGGGAAUUGAUCUCUAGUACGAGAGGAUCGAGAUGAGGGAAUCCCUAGUGUUCCUGUUGUUGCUGUCAAGCGCACCGCAGGGUAGCUACAUUUCUUAAGGAUAAUCGCUGAAAGCAUCUAAGCGAGAAGCCCCACCCAAGAUUAACUUUCUCCAUUAGACCCGUGGAAGACUACCACGUUGAUAGGUUGCCGGUGUAAGUAUGGUGACAUAUUAAGCCUAGCAAUACUAAGUGUCGAUUGAAUAAAUUAC
rnacentral:rRNA from 1 species